GUGGCUCUUAAGGGGACGGGUCACGUUAUCUUCAGUGUCCUCUUGGAAGAUAUAUUCGUCCACCAGGUUCAAACCCCACACCACCACCUUUUUCUCCUACUUAUAAGGAGCUACGUUGGUCACCUCUUUCCCAUGCCUUCUCUUGACUUAUAAUAUUCAUUCUUAUUGUUUCUUACUUACCCUUCUGCCAUCCCUCACUAUCCCAUUUCUUAGUGACUUAGUACAGAAAACAAAAAAGAAGAAGAAAUUAUCAACAAAUGGCAUCAUCUUGGACUCCACGGCAGAACAAAUUGUUUGAACAAGCCCUGGCUUUAUAUGACAGGGAAACCCCUGACAGAUGGCAGAAUGUGGCCAAUGUGGUGGGAAGAUCAGUUGAGGAUGUUAAAAGGCACUAUGAGAUCCUCAAAGAAGAUGUCAAACGCAUUGAACAUGGCCAAGUUCCAUUUCCUCGUUACAAAACCAACACCAGCAACAACUAACUAAGCCAUUGGUUCUUGAAGAUCCAGUGGCUACCAAGUACUGUAUGAACAUCCGUUAGCAUUAUCAACAAUAAAUAGCGAAUAGUGUAUUUCUAGCUGAAAUCAGUAAAACAAUCUAACUGCACCCCUACCAUUAUUGCAGCAGUCUUCUACCCUGUUUUCCUCCUUUAUUUUUAUACUAAGUUUUGUUUAUCCAUGAUGUUGUCAAAUUAAUAUUGUACUUAAAGCAAGUUAAUCAUUGUCAAGUAAUGAAGAAUUACUUAUAAUUAGUCUAA